GUCCAGACUCCUACGGGAGGCAGCAGUGGGGAAUAUUGCACAAUGGGGGAAACCCUGAUGCAGCGACGCCGCGUGAGCGAUGAAGUAUUUCGGUAUGUAAAGCUCUAUCAGCAGGGAAGAAAAUGACGGUACCUGACUAAGAAGCCCCGGCUAACUACGUGCCAGCAGCCGCGGUAAUACGUAGGGGGCAAGCGUUAUCCGGAUUUACUGGGUGUAAAGGGAGCGUAGACGGCUGUGCAAGCCAGAUGUGAAAGCCCGGGGCUCAACCCCGGGACUACAUUUGGAACUGUGUGGCUGGAGUGUCGGAGAGGCAGGCGGAAUUCCUAGUGUAGCGGUGAAAUGCGUAGAUAUUAGGAGGAACACCAGUGGCGAAGGCGGCCUGCUGGACGAUGACUGACGUUGAGGCUCGAAAGCGUGGGGAGCAAACAGGAUUAGAUACCCGGGUA
rnacentral:rRNA from 1 species